GCAUGAAGUUGGAAUCGCUAGUAAUCGCGGAUCAGCAUGCCGCGGUGAAUACGUUCCCGGGCCUUGUACACACCGCCCGUCACACCAUGAGAGUUGGCAACACCCGAAGUCAGUAGGCUAACGCAAGAGGCCGCUGCCGAAGGUGGGGUUGACGAUUGGGGUGAAGUCGUAACAAGGUAUC
rnacentral:rRNA from 1 species